AUGGACACGCCCAUGCCGAAACGGCCUCGCCUCGUGCCGGCACCAGCGCCGGCGCCUCGGACAAUCGCCGACAUGGCCCCGGAGAUCCUCCUCCGCCUCCCUCCGGACGACCCCACGCGCCUUGUGCGCGCCUCCCUCGUCUGCUGGUGCUGGCGCCACCUCCUCACCGACCCAGCGUACCUCCGCCGCUACCGCGCAUUCCAUCGAACACCUUCCAUGCUCGGUUUCGUCCUCAACCUGAAGCAGCAUUACCAAGGCAUGGCCCAGCUCGUCCCCACCUCCUCCUUCUGCCCCGCCGCCUCCGACCGCCCCGACCUGAAUGUGCUGGACGCCCGCCACGACCGCGUGCUCCUCCACACCGCUCAGGGCCAGCGCCUCGUCGUCUGGGACCCCGUCAAGGGUGAGGAGUUCAAGAUCCCCCGCGUGCCGGCCUACGCGCUUGGCUUCAACGCGGUCGUGCUCUGCGCCGCGGUCGGCUGCGACCACCUCGACUGUCAUGGCGGACCCUUCCGUGUCGCCUUCAUGGGAUGCGGCGAACAUGGCAUCACGUUCGCCUGCACCUACUCGUCGGAGGCCGGUGCCUGGAGCCAGCGAGUUGAGAUCGAGCAGCCGGCAUUUGUUGACGGGCGACCGAGCUUCCUUGUGGGGUACACGCUCUACUUCACCUGCAACCCGUACCUCAAUUUCAGAAUGUUGGGGUACGACAUCAUCAGGCAGGAACUCUCGGUGAUUUGGCCGCCGUCCCAGCACGAGUACUACUCUUGCACCGUCCUCGUGAAAGCGGAGGAUGACAGGCUGGGGUUCGCCGGCGUGCGAAAUGGCACGCUCUACCUCUGGUCGAUGAAGGAUGGCACCAACGGAGAGGUGGAAUGGGUGCAGCGCAGAGUUAUCCAGCACAAGACGAUGCUCCACACUCGUGGCCUCUCGACGCCACCUGAGGUCGUUGGCUUCGCGGACGGCCACAGACUCAUUUUCCUUAGGACAGGCAACACGGUAUUCUCCAUGGAGCUCAAGUCAGGCCAUGUCCGUAAGGUAUACACCUGCAGGUCAAGAAACUACGACGUCAUCAUUGUUCCCUACAUGAGCUUCUGCACUCCAGGUACGUAUUGA
rnacentral:rRNA from 1 species